GAUGGACGCUAGCGGGAGGCUUAACACAUGCAAGUCGAGGGGUAUUGUAGCAAUACAUUAGACCGGCGCACGGGUGAGUAACGCGCAUGCAACCUGCCGUUAACCGGGGGAUAGCCCGUCGAAAGGCGGAUUAAUACCCCAUAAUAUUGGGAUUCUGCAUGGGAUUUCAAUUAAAGCUGAGGCGGUUAACGAUGGGCAUGCGUGACAUUAGCUAGUUGGUAGGGUAACGGCCUACCAAGGCUACGAUGUCUAGGGGUUCUGAGAGGAAGGUCCCCCACACUGGUACUGAGACACGGACCAGACUCCUACGGGAGGCAGCAGUGAGGAAUAUUGGUCAAUGGGCGAGUGCCUGAACCAGCCAUCCCGCGUGCAGGAAGACGGCCCUAUGGGUUGUAAACUGCUUUUGCGCAUGAAGAAUGUUACCGACGUGUCGGUAAGUGACGGUAAUGCGUGAAUAAGCAUCGGCUAACUCCGUGCCAGCAGCCGCAGUAACAC
rnacentral:rRNA from 1 species